CGGAGAGGGCGUGACCCUGGCUGACCCCGCGAUGGGAGGCUCCUCACCCCACCCCUUUCCGGAACUCGAGCUGCACCUGUGGUUCCCACCGCGGCGUCGUUGCAAGGAGAGGGCGAGGUGUGGUGCGGGCCCUGGCGGAGACCGCCCGCCCUGUGGACGUGGCCGAGCCCCGUGAAGGCUCCUCCACGAACUCAGGAUCCUGACGGCGGGUGCGGAGAGCGGCUUCCCUGGCGGUGUCCCCGGCCGAGCCUCCCAGAGUUUAAGCCACAAGACGGUGGAGACUAUUUAGUUCGGAGCUCUGUCCCCGGCCCCAGGAAGAGGUUGUCGGGUAAAUGAAGCCGGAAGGAGCCUGGCGAGUCCUGCAGAGGACCUGCCCACCUCGAGUUCCGGAUGUCAGGUGGAAGAUGACUGCCCCUCCACUCAACUCCAUCUUCCCAGCAGACUGAAUCUGACUGGCCCAGACUGAGCCAACUGUCCACCCUUCAUACGAUGAGCUUCUCCAAGGGAUCUCAAACACCAUGGCUGGAGACGCCAACUGGGUCAGACCAUGAGAGCAUCUCAACUUUUUGCUAUUAUAAAUGGCUCUUUGAUGAAUAUUCUAUGGAAAACUUCAUCCCCAUUGAUGAUCAGUUCCUCAGCAGUGAAAUUUUGCAUCACAAGAUCACCUCCCGAGGGAGAGAGAUUGGCUCCAGAGCCACCAGUUAAAACGUCAAUAUCAUCAGUGAGCCGUGACAAACAGGGCGACUUAGGUGAGAGGUAUGUUCACAAGAAAGGAGACAGAGCUACGGAAUCCAGAAGCCUUGUGAAGCAAAACUCACUGCCAGGAGAAGCCUGAAUACCGCAGGAGAAAGUGAAAUCAACACACAGAGAAAAGGGGGAAAUGAAGAGUGCUGAGGUCUUCAAAGUCCUGGAUCCAGCUGUGCCUAAGGCAACUAGCUCUCCCCAGCUAUCCCUAGUUACAUAAGCCAAGAAAGCCCCGGCUGACUUUGCCAGUGUCACAUGGAGUCAGGUGUCUGUCGCCCGCAGAGCAAGUGGAGUGAUGCAUCACAUCACACUGGCAGACCCAUAAGGCCGAGUGCCUGCAGAGCAAGACAUGGCCGUCCUUGGGCGGGAGUGUGCUUUGUUAGCGUCCAGAACUUUCUGUCAGCUCAGUCUGCACCCCUCACAUCUCCCCCACUGAGGCCUCUCAGACUAUUGACAGGAAUUUUCUGAGCGUCUCCAGUCUAGCCGGCUCACUGAGUACCAAAAUCUCCAUGCCAGAGUUUCAGUUCUUGGCCGCUCUACAAAUUUGCUCCCUCGGGAUGAAGGAGCAAAGGUUAGGGCUGUGGAGGGCUUUAAUCAAUAGUGCAUGCUCCUGAAAAACAGGCAGGAAUCAAUAAUAUAUUUCCACACUCAACUUUUUUUGUUUUAUCCUCAAAACAAUAGCAACAAAACAUUCAUGCCAGGCUGCAAUUGAAAAAGUCCAUUUAAAAAAAAAAAAAAAACUUAUUCUUCCCUUUCUUGCUCUUUAAUAAAGGGCGUGAUGAAUGUGUUUACCUUAUGGAGACGAGAAAGAAUCGGUUAGAAAAACUCAGAAAAAUAUGGUCCUCCACAGUGGGGGUUUUCUUUUCCCUUUUUGAAAAGAAAGUCAAUUUCAGUUACUAGAAUAUGUCCGUAGGGUGAUGUGUGCUAAGUAAGAAAAGGAGAGGAAAGUAUGGUCAGAGCUCAUGGUGUGUGCCGCGAGGAACUCCUCUGCUAACUCAUGAAAUCCACGGGCUGCCCGGGCUCGUGGUGCGCAGGGGGCGCGAAGGGGGCACACAGGGCAUGUGGACACUGCUGGGAGGCAGUAUCCACUCCCACUGCAGCUGAUUCCAGCAGGCAGCCAGUUUGAGAACCACAGGGCUAGACUCCAUCUCCAGGCAAGAUGCCUUCUGAAUGAUCAGAUAGCCCUAACAGUCUUUCCAAAAACAGAUGCUGAUUUUAGCGCUGCGGUUUAUUUGAAUGAACGAGUUAGAGCUGUUCUGCUAAAAUCUUUUAUCUCAACAGCCUUAGAUACUGGCUUCCUUGACUUCCGGGAAAUGUGUUUCAAAUGGGAAAGCACAAGAAAUAUAAAAUGUAUGAAAUCAACCCACAUUUAUUUAUUAAUUCACUCUUUUUUCUCACGUGUCAAACAUCUGUUAAUAGACUAGAUACUUUGGGUAUUAUGUUGGAUACGACCCAGUCCAUGACCUCAGCUGGAUCAUUUGCCACUUAGGUGGCCCCAAGAAAGUUAAAUCAGGACAGUAACAUGAGGGCUUUGAGUACAGUGUGAGAAGAACCAUGAAGCUAAUAUGUACGGGGUGUCAGUGAAGAACCAGAAGGGUGGACCCGCAGCCAUGGAAGGAGAGAAAACAAACACAGCUUCUCCCUAGGACUGGAGGAGGAGGAGGCUGGAGUGAAAACAGAAGCAUGGAUGCCCCAGGACGGCGGCCCUUGAAGUUGGUCACGGCUUCAUCAGUGACUCUCAACCAGAGAGUAGAAUCAUUUGGGAAACAUAAAAAGAAAGUGCUGAUGUCCAGUCCCCACCUUAAACCAAUUAAAUCACAAUCUUUUGAUGAUGGAACACAGACCUCAGUACAGGUUUGUUUGUUUUUUAAAUCUUUCCAGGUGAUUCUACUGAGUUGCCAGUUUGAGAAACACUGGACAGGAUUAUCAAGGGUCUUGUUACCAAUCUAAAGAAUUUGGACUUAGAAUCCUUUUUUUUUUUAUAACAUAAUUCAUGUCAAGUUGGCUAACAUACAGUGUGUAAAGUGUGCUUGGUUUUGGGGGUAGAUUCCUGUGGUUCGUCACUUACAUACAAC